rnacentral:rRNA from 1 species
UACGGGGGGGGGCAAGCGUUGUUCGGAAUUACUGGGCGUAAAGGGUUCGUAGGUGGCCUACUAAGUCAGACGUGAAAUCCCUCAGCUUAACUGGGGAACUGCAUCCGAUACUGGAUGGCUUGAAUCCGGGAGAGGGAUGCAGAAUUCCAGGUGUAGCGGUGAAAUGACGUAGAUAUCUGGAGGAAUACCGGUGGCGAAGGCGGCAUCCUGGACCGGCAUUGACGCUGAGGAGCGAAAGCUAGGGGAGCAAACAGGG